GUUGAGUCUGAGCGGCUGCGAUCCACGCUGCAGGGGAAGGAAGCCUCCUACUCUGCAGACAUGGACCGCCUUGUGUCGCAUCAUCUUGAGGAGGCGAACCUCAAGGACACCGCCUUGAGGGCGAAGGAUGAAGCCCUUACCCAGAAGCAAACGCAGCUGGGUAAGGCAUUGGAGUCCGUGUUGGAAUUAUGCCCUAGAGGCAAUAAUAAAUAUAG
rnacentral:lncRNA from 1 species